GACGAACGCUGGCGGCGUGCUUAACACAUGCAAGUCGAACGGAAAGGCCCUGGUUUUGUGGGGUGCUCGAGUGGCGAACGGGUGAGUAACACGUGAGUAACCUGCCCUUGACUUUGGGAUAACUUCAGGAAACUGGGGCUAAUACCGGAUAGGAGCUCCUGCUGCAUGGCGGGGGUUGGAAAGUUUCGGCGGUUGGGGAUGGACUCGCGGCUUAUCAGCUUGUUGGUGGGGUAGUGGCUUACCAAGGCUUUGACGGGUAGCCGGCCUGGGAGGGUGACCGGCCACAUUGGGACUGAGAUACGGCCCAGACUCCUACGGGAGGCAGCAGUGGGGAAUAUUGCACAAUGGGCGGAAGCCUGAUGCAGCAACGCCGCGUGCGGGAUGACGGCCUUCGGGUUGUAAACCGCUUUCGCCUGUGACGAAGCGUGAGUGACGGUAAUGGGUAAAGAAGCACCGGCUAACUACGUG
rnacentral:rRNA from 1 species